rnacentral:rRNA from 1 species
GACGGGGGGGGCAAGUGUUCUUCGGAAUGACUGGGCGUAAAGGGCACGUAGGCGGUGAAUCGGGUUGAAAGUGAAAGUCGCCAAAAACUGGCGGAAUGCUCUCGAAACCAAUUCACUUGGGUGAGACAGAGGAGAGUGGAAUUUCGUGUGUAGGGGUGGAAAUACCGCAAAUCUACGAAGGAAGGCCAAAAGCGAAGGCAGCUCGUCUGGGUCCCUACCGACGCUGGGGUGCGAAAGCAUGGGGGAGCGAACAGG